rnacentral:ribozyme from 1 species
CAACUUUAGCGACGGAACAGGAAAGAGCUAUGUCUACUCUGUCGAGUUCAACUCUGCUGCCUCUCUUUCUUCUUCCCUUAUCAACUUCA